rnacentral:rRNA from 1 species
AACGAACGCUGGCGGCAUGCCUAACACAUGCAAGUCGAACGAUGCCUUCGUGCGUAGUUGCGCACGGGUGAGUAACGUGUGGGAACCUUCCCUGUUGUACGGAAUUCUACCGUUUAACUGGAGCUAAUACCGUAUGUCUUCCCCUAGUCAAAGAUUCAUCGUCACGGGAUGGGCCCGCGUUGGAUUAGCUUUUUGGUGGGGUAUCGGCCUACCAAGGCUACGAUCCUUAGCUGGGCUGAGAGGAUGAUCAGCCACACUGGGACUGAGACACGGCCCAGACUCCUACGGGAGGAAGCAGUGGGGAAUAUUGGACAAUGGGCGCAAGACUGAUCCAGCAAUGCCGCGUGAGUGAUGAAGGCCUUCGGGUUGUAAAGCUCUUUCGCACGCGACGAUGAUGACGGUAGCGUGAGAAGAAGCCCCGGCUAACUUCGUG